GACGGUGUAGCUCAGUGGUUAGAGCGCGGCGGAUAACGCCGAGGUCAUGGGUUUGAACCCCAUCUCCGUCA
rnacentral:tRNA from 1 species